CAACACUUCUUUUGUUUUUUUGAUUUUCAGUUGCUGUAUAGCAACCAUGUUAAGUGCACAAUACAAAUCCAGUAACUAACUUGAAAAAUAAAUUUCAUAAGAAGCGGGCUCUGAACGGGUUAUCGGCAUCGUACGACCUUUCGUUCUCCUCCAUAUGAGGAACCUGCAACGGUUGUGGAAACGAAAAACGUAAUCCUUCAAAGUAUCCAUCACUCGAGGUUCAGCGCAACAAGAAAAAGAAACGAAGGGAGGAUAAAGUCCGCUCUCGUUCCGUUAGUCGAGGAAGCAGCUCUGGUGCUAGAUACUGUACUCCGGAAAUCGGUAAGAAUGGCGGUUCCUUAUAGCUCAAGGUAUCGAACGAUGCAACGUUAUCAGAGUUGGAAUUGAAAAGAGCGGCUUGCCUACCGAAACUGAACGAAUAGUUGGACGAGUGAUCCCUGUUGGUAUUGACAGCCAACUUUCUCUCAGCGAGUCGCAGAAGACAGUGACACAGAUGUAGCAGUAGUUUACAAGUGCGAAAUUUGUAUAUCUUUGAACCACAGAUGAAAAAUAUAUGCGAUUUAUCAACA